rnacentral:rRNA from 1 species
AGAGUUUGAUCCUGGCUCAGGACGAACGCUGGCGGCGCGCCUAACACAUGCAAGUCGAACGGAGCUUAGAGAGCUUGCUUUUUAAGCUUAGUGGCGAACGGGUGAGUAACGCGUGAGUAACCUGCCCUAGAGUGGGGGACAACAGUUGGAAACGACUGCUAAUACCGCAUAAGCCCACGGUGCCGCAUGACACUGAGGGAAAAGGAUUUAUUCGCUUUAGGAUGGACUCGCGUCCAAUUAGCUAGUUGGUGAGGUAACGGCCCACCAAGGCGACGAUUGGUAGCCGGACUGAGAGGUUGAACGGCCACAUUGGGACUGAGACACGGCCCAGACUCCUACGGGAGGCAGCAGUGGGGGAUAUUGCACAAUGGGGGAAACCCUGACGCAGCGACGCCGCGUGGAGGAAGAAGGUUUUCGGAUUGUAAACUCCUGUCGUUAGGGACGAUAAUGACGGUACCUAACAAGAAAGCACCGGCUAACUACGUGCCAGCAGCCGCGGUAAAACGUAGGGUGCAAGCGUUGUCCGGAAUUACUGGGUGUAAAGGGAGCGCAGGCGGGAAGACAAGUUGGAAGUGAAAACCAUGGGCUCAACCCAUGAAUUGCUUUCAAAACUGUUUUUCUUGAGUAGUGCAGAGGUAGAUGGAAUUCCCGGUGUAGCGGUGGAAUGCGUAGAUAUCGGGAGGAACACCAGUGGCGAAGGCGGUCUACUGGGCACCAACUGACGCUGAGGCUCGAAAGCAUGGGUAGCAAACAGGAUUAGAUACCCUGGUAGUCCAUGCCGUAAACGAUGAUUACUAGGUGUUGGGGGAUUGACCCCCUCAGUGCCGCAGUUAACACAAUAAGUAAUCCACCUGGGGAGUACGACCGCAAGGUUGAAACUCAAAGGAAUUGACGGGGGCCCGCACAAGCAGUGGAGUAUGUGGUUUAAUUCGAAGCAACGCGAAGAACCUUACCAGGUCUUGACAUCCAACUAACGAAGCAGAGAUGCAUUAGGUGCCCUUCGGGGAAAGUUGAGACAGGUGGUGCAUGGUUGUCGUCAGCUCGUGUCGUGAGAUGUUGGGUUAAGUCCCGCAACGAGCGCAACCCUUGUGAUUAGUUGCUACGCAAGAGCACUCUAAUCAGACUGCCGUUGACAAAACGGAGGAAGGUGGGGACGACGUCAAAUCAUCAUGCCCUUUAUGACCUGGGCUACACACGUACUACAAUGGUCGUUAACAGAGGGAAGCAAUACCGCGAGGUGGAGCAAAACCCUAAAAACGGUCUCAGUUCAGAUUGUAGGCUGCAACUCGCCUACAUGAAGUUGGAAUUGCUAGUAAUCGCGGAUCAGCAUGCCGAGGUGAAUACGUUCCCGGGCCUUGCACACACCGCCCGUCA